rnacentral:rRNA from 1 species
UACAGAGGGGGCAAGCGUUGUUCGGAAUUACUGGGCGUAAAGGGCGCGUAGGCGGCCGCCUAAGUCAGACGUGAAAUCCCUCGGCUCAACCGGGGAACUGCGUCUGAUACUGGGUGGCUUGAAUCCGGGAGAGGGAUGCGGAAUUCCAGGUGUAGCGGUGAAAUGCGUAGAGAUAUGGAGGAACACCAGUGGCGAAGGCGACUUUCUGGUCUGUAACUGACACUGAGGCGCGAAAGCGUGGGGAGCAAACAGG